rnacentral:rRNA from 1 species
UACAGAGGUCUCAAGCGUUGUUCGGAUUCAUUGGGCGUAAAGGGUGCGUAGGCGGCGCGGUAAGUCGGGUGUGAAAUCUCGGAGCUUAACUCCGAAACUGCAUUCGAUACUGCCGUGCUUGAGGACUGGAGAGGAGACUGGAAUUUACGGUGUAGCGGUGAAAUUCGUAGAUAUUCGGAAGAACACCAGUGGCGAAGGCGGCUCACUGGCCCGGUACUGACGCUGAGGUGCGAAAGCGUGGGGAGCAAACAGG